rnacentral:lncRNA from 1 species
CGAGUCCCUCCUACAAUCAUAUUGAUCAUUCCACUAGAGUCGUCGUUCACCAGCGCUCCGAUCUGUCUCCUAGGCCUUUCUCCAGUUGUGUUAUGUUGUGGUCUCUGGCCCUCUAGCUUUUUUAUAAAGUUCCUGAGGUGUCCUCUCUUGAUGAGCCUCUCUAUUUCAUUUAUCAACUGGUAACAGUCGUUCGUAUCAUGACUAUGAGUCCGGUGGUACCAAUAAUACUUAUCUCGGUCCCUUCUGUUCACUUCUGCCUUUAUCAACUUGGGCCACUGUAUGAAGUCUUUGUCUUGGACUGCCAUGAGCACUUUAGCUAUGGACACAUUCAGAGGAGUGAUCUUCGUGGGGAUCUGGGGUUGAUAGAGUCUUUGCUCCUUUCUCUCCCACCGGUGUCUGUUUAGUGCUUCAGACCCCCGAUCCUGUCUCCUCUCCGGCCUAUCUUGCCUCUUGUCCUCCCCAACCCUUCCUCUAUCUCCUGCCUCCUUGGCGAACUUGCUUGUGGUUAACGCAUCGUCCUACCUUAUAUACUUUUCUGCCCUUUUCAUCAGCUAUACCAAGGUAGGCUUUCUGCAUAGUGAUUUAAAGAACUCUGAGGAGGUGGUGCCCUUCUGCAUAGCUUCCAUAACUCUUGCUUCAUCAAGCUCGGGUAUUUGUAAAGCCUCCUUGUUGAACCUAGCCAACGACUCCCUUAAAGAUUCGUUCCUCCUUUGUCGAACUGUUUCUAAAUAGCUUAUCUUUCUUUCCGCUGAGAUCCCAGCAAUGAACCUGCUGAUGAACACACUGGCCAAGUCUAUGAAGUUCUUAGUACUACCGGCCUCUGAGCUAUUGAACCACGCUCAGGUUGGUCUGGUUAAGGUGGUGGAAAAAACUUACACAUCAAGGCAUCUGAGUGAGUUUGCAGCUCCAUGAACAUUUUAUAGUUCAAGACAUGCUCCUGAGGGUUUUCCGUCCCAUCAUAGGCGGCUAUUAUCGGCAUCAUGAACUUCUUGAGGAUGGUUUCCUGCUGUACCCAUCUCACAAAUGGGGAUGCGGUUGGCAACAAGGGACUGCUGUUGUCUUGUGCCCCCAACUCUGUCAGCAGUUGCUCUCUCAGCCUUUCUAACUUUUGAUCUACAUCUGCCUCCUAUCUCCUGGGCUUUUUCUCUAGGCGGUAGUU